rnacentral:rRNA from 1 species
GAUGAACGCUGGCGGCGUGCCUAAUACAUGCAAGUCGAGCGAACAGACGAGGAGCUUGCUCCUCUGACGUUAGCGGCGGACGGGUGAGUAACACGUGGAUAACCUACCUAUAAGACUGGGAUAACUUCGGGAAACCGGAGCUAAUACCGGAUAAUAUCUUGAACCGCAUGGUUCAAUAGUGAAAGACGGUUUUGCUGUCACUUAUAGAUGGAUCCGCGCCGCAUUAGCUAGUUGGUAAGGUAACGGCUUACCAAGGCAACGAUGCGUAGCCGACCUGAGAGGGGGAUCGGCCAAACUGGAACGGAGAAACGGUCCAGACUCCUAAGGGAGGCAGCAGUAGGGAAUCUUCCGCAAUGGGCGAAAGCCUGACGGAGAAACGCCGCGUGAGUGAUGAAGGUCUUCGGAUCGUAAAACUCUGUUAUUAGGGAAGAACAAAUGUGGAAGUAAAUAUGCACGUCUUGACGGUACCUAAUCAGAAAGCCACGGCUAACUACGUG